UACGGGGGGGGCAAGCGUUGUUCGGAAUUACUGGGCGUAAAGCGCGCGUAGGCGGCUCUUCAAGUCGAGUGUGAAAGCUCCAGGCUUAACCUGGGAACUGCAUCCGAUACUGGAUGGCUUGAAUUCGGGAGAGGGAUGCAGAAUUCCAGGUGUAGCGGUGAAAUGCGUAGAUAUCGGAAGGAACAUCAGUGGCGAAAGCGGCUUCCUGGACCAGUACCGACGUCAGGCACGAAAGCGUGGGGAGCAAACAGG
rnacentral:rRNA from 1 species